GCUUGCUGUUCUAAAGUAAACACUGAGGGUAUGAAUUGGCUUGAAACUAAUUAUUCUUGUGGCAAUAGCUCAAAGAGAUAUGAACAUUUGUACAUCAACUGUGGAGGAAAUGCAACAACAAUAAAUGGAAGCAACUAUGAAGCUGAUCUUGAUCCAAAUGGAGAAUCAAGGUUCUAUCUGAGCAGUAAUGGAGCCUGGGGAUUCAGUAG